rnacentral:misc_RNA from 1 species
UCACGGUUUGCACCGGCAGUCUUGUUAGAGUUCCCGACAUGACUCGCUGGCAACUAACAACAGGGGUUGCGCUCGUUAUAGGACUUAACCUGACACCUCACGGCACGAGCUGACGACAACCAUGCAGCACCUUGAAGAGUGUCCGAAGAAAAGCAUGUUUCCACGCCUGUCACUCCCCAUUUAAGCCUUGGUAAGGUUCCUCGCGUAUCAUCGAAUUAAACCACAUGCUCCACCGCUUGUGCGGGCCCCCGUCAAUUCCUUUGAGUUUCAAACUUGCGUUCGUACUCCCCAGGUGGGAUACUUAUCACUUUCGCUUAGCCACUGAACUUGCGCCCAACAGCUAGUAUCCAUCGUUUACGGCGUGGACUAC